UACAGAGGUCCCAAGCGUUGUUCGGAUUCACUGGGCGUAAAGGGUGCGUAGGCGGUCGGGUAAGUCUGAUGUGAAAUCUCACAGCUUAACUGUGAAACUGCAUUGGAUACUAUCCGGCUCGAGGAGUGGAGGGGAGACUGGAAUACUUGGUGUAGCAGUGAAAUGCGUAGAUAUCAAGUGGAACACCAGUGGCGAAGGCGAGUCUCUGGACAUUUUCCUGACGCUGAGGCACGAAAGCCAGGGGAGCAAAACGGG
rnacentral:rRNA from 1 species